GUGCUUGUUUCAGCAGCACAUACACCAAAAUGGAACAAUACAGAGAAGAUUAGCAUAGCACCUGCACAAGGAUGACACACAAAUCAGUGAAGCGUUCCAUAUUUUU
ensembl:snRNA U6 U6 spliceosomal RNA